rnacentral:rRNA from 1 species
GUCUCAAUCGUUGUUCGGAUUCAUUGGGCGUAAAGGGUGCGUAGGCGGCGCGGUAAGUCGGGUGUGAAAUUUCGAGGCUUAACUUCGAAACUGCAUUCGAUACUGCCGUGCUUGAGGACUGGAGAGGAGACUGGAAUUUACGGUGUAGCGGUGAAAUGCGUAGAUAUCGUAAGGAAGACCAGUGGCGAAGGCGGGUCUCUGGACAGUUCCUGACGCUGAGGCACGAAGGCCAGGGGAGCAAACGGG